UACGUAGGGGGCUAGCGUUGUCCGGAAUCAUUGGGCGUAAAGAGCGUGUAGGCGGUCCGGUAAGUCCGCUGUGAAAGUCGGGGGCUCAACCCUCGAAUGCCGGUGGAUACUAUCGGGCUAGAGUGCGGAAGAGGCGAGUGGAAUUCCUGGUGUAGCGGUGAAAUGCGCAGAUAUCAGGAGGAACACCUAUUGCGAAGGCGGUUCUCUGGGACGGUACUGACGCUGGAGACGCGAAAGCGUGGGGAGCGAACAGG
rnacentral:rRNA from 1 species